rnacentral:tRNA from 1 species
GGCUCUGCAGCUCAGUUGGCAGAGCGUUCGACUGAAAAUCGAAAGGUCAGAGCCA